CAAUUAAUAGAUUACAGUUAUCAUCCUAGGGUGACCCAAGAACAAACUGGGCUGAGAGAAACCAACUGGGAAUGCAAUCCUGGUGCUAUAACAGGAACAGAUAAAGCCUCAGCGUGGAAGCUGGAGCCCCCGCCAUUGGAAGCCGUGAUUUGGGUUUCCCACCGCUGCUGCUGCGUCUGCAUCGGCUCAGCAGGGAGAGAGACGCGCGGAAGCUCUGAGAAAGGGAAUCGGUGAACGGAAUUGAGAGCAGGAUGGGCGGGGAGCCGUGCAUCCACCUCCGGUGAGUGAGGGAAAACUGGGACUCUGCCAUGGUCCAGGAGACUCCAACAGAGGACAUUCUGGGACCGGGCAGACUUGCGGGAACAGGGCGCUGCAGUGACUUCAGUCAUGUAUCCCCCUCUCAAGCAGGAUUGGUGAGCAGUGCCUAGCCCACGUGAUGCUGCUGGCUGAGACCCAGUAGGCUAGCACAGCCCAGGUCCCAGCUCCUGAAGGUAGAUUGACCUGGAGUGGCAGGCCCCGCAUAGGUUGCCCAGUCUGCAACUUCCUGGUGCGCUGCGGUGGGUGGAAACACCUAGCUGGUGCAAUUCAAUCAGACUAUGGCUGACAGGGAAGGAAGCUGGGCCUCCUAUAUACGCUUGCAGAUAUAAGGAACAAAGAAUAUGGGAAGAGGCAGCAACAAGAAAGGGUCCUCGGCCCCCAAUCCUGAGAAAGAGACAACAGCAGACACAGCACCAAUAGACAUAAAGCGCUAUCUCGAGAGCCUCAUAGACAAGUUCAGGAAUGAAGUUAUUAAUGACCUGAAGCUAGACAUAAGCAGAAUAGUUAGAGAAAUGCUAAGCACCACCCAAGAAAAAACAGAUGGUGGAAUGGAAGAACAGAAAAAGAGGGGAGAAUUGUUUAAUGGAGAAAAUAGAGAAAGCAUAGAAUACGUGAAGCAGGUUCAAAGAGACUACCAGGAAACUAAAAAGUCUAUCAAAAACUGGCAUAACAGCUUGAAAGAAACUAAGGACAAAUUAUCUGAACUGGAGGGCAGAGUUGUAAUAUGGAGCAUGAAAUGAAAAACUUCUUAAAAAUAACAGCAAUAAUACAAAGACUAGAAGAUGAUAAGAAGGUCUAUAACUUAAGAAUUAAGAACAUAAAAGAAGAAGUAGGGACACAAACAAAUGAACUACAAAAGCUACUCACAGAAAAGCCAUCAGAGACAAGAAACAGAUGACUUACAAGGGAACACCCAUCAGAAUUACAGCAGACUUCUCGGCACAAACCAUCAAAUCACGAAGAGUGUGGGGGGAAAUAAUUCAAGCUUUGAAAGAUAAUAAUCUCCAGCCAAGAUUGAUAUAUCCUGCACAACUAUCCCUGGAAAUUGAUGGAAAAACAAGGUGCUUUCAGGAUAAAGAGGAACUAGGGGAAUAUGCAACCACCAAUUCAACUCUACAGAGAAUACUGCAAGAUAUUCUAAAAAAGAAAAAUACGAAAAAUCCAGAAGUAGCGGCAGAGAGGCCACAAUGAAUGGAGCAGAAAACAAAACGAAGAAGACAAACUGACAACUAAUGACAGAAAAAGAGCUCAACAGAAAUGAGGCAGAGAAGAUUGGAUGAUAGGAACAGCUAUAUUGAAGAAAAUGACGUCUUAAGAGGUAUUUUGUCCCAGCAACCAGAAAAAAGUAACCAAGACAGAAUUUGGUCCCAGAGAAGUGGGGUUGUUGCUAUGACCAUACCUGACCACAUCAAGAGCCUUUGGGAACGGCUUGCAGGAAGAGUUUGGAAAAGUUCAGAGCUGUAACCUGAAUGUAUAGAACUGGAAAAGCUUAGGCUGUUCUGCAUGGGAGAUUCUGGUCAAAGCUCAAGAGACCGGAAGGUUGACAGCCUGCUAGUAAAGACCAACCUUGGGAGGUUUCUGCUGUGAAGAAGGACUGCAUUGGUUGCUGGACUCCACACAGUGUAUGUUAUGGCUUGGCAGGAAGUCUAUUUUGCAUGUGUCCAGAGGCUUUGCCUGAGAUGGAGAUUAAGGGCAGCAGACUGAUUAAUCCGACAGAAGAAAAUUUCAAGGCAGUUGAAUGUUGGGUGCUUUUAGCCACAUUUAUGUUGCAAAUCAAGAGCAAAGCACCCAGCAAAAUAAUUUAAAACUUUAUGAGUUUGGCCAGAAAGGAAGCUCCAGUAAAGCUGUGGACUAUAAAAAUAUAGCUGAGAUCUGUAUUGCUGAGAAGGAACAGAAUAGAAAAGAUGGCCUGAAGGCAUCACAAAAAGCAGCAAGUCUUGAACUUUUACAGCCUCCAAACUGCAAAAGUGAAAAACUGUGCUUUGAGAAAAAAGCCACAAAGCACCAUGUUCCAGAAUGGUGGCAGAGCCCCCAUAAGGUUCCAGAAUGGAGAUAGCAUAGAGAAUCUGUUCCUCAGUAUCAGGUUCAGAGUGCUCAGCAAUCCAGACACUUGACCCCUACAGCCAAGAGGGAGCAAAGCCUGACCUCUGCUCCAAGUGGCAGCAGACCUCGGCAUUAUCCAUCCACAUGGUGCUGGUUUUAGGUACAUACAGAAUGCAAGGGUUCUGAUAUUAAAAAGGCUUCCACCCCAACUUCAGAAGGCCUGGGAGGCCAGGCAAUGUGCCCCUGAGAUGGCAGUGUGUGAAGCUGUGAGUGUGAAGCCAAAGGUGCAGUGGAGACCCCAUGUCUUAAUCAUUUUUUACUCAUUGCUGAGACAAAAUACCUGAAGCCCAAAGUUGGGAAAGGAAAGGUUUAUUUCUCACAGUUUUUGGAGGUUUCAGUCCACACUCAGUUGACUCCAAGGCUGGCGGGCAUGGCUGGACCGCAGUUCAUGGCAGCUGCAAACAGCAAACAGGAACCAGCAAAGAGCAAGACACACCUUCUUCCUGCCAUUACAUCACAUCCUGGCUCCACCCCUAUGUGGGUGGAGCACUGACACCGUCAAUCCAAGCACUAGACAAUGAACCAUCACAAAUUCACAAUGCAAACUCAUGAGGCCUGGGGGACACAGACAUAAACCAUGACACUGCAGAAGUUGGGAAAAGGCAGGAAAACAUAUCAUCUUAUAAGGAAACUUGCAAUGAGGGAGCAAAUCCAGCCCAAGAGGUCAGCUGUGGGUUCAGUAACCACCAGAAGUGCCAUAGGGGUGGAGUCUCACAAGCCCUUUGGAGCUCACAGUUUGCCAUAUAUUGCCUUACAUGGUGCACAUGAAACUACAGGACUUAAUGUUUGCCUUGCUGGAUUUUGGACUGGCUUUUGUCCCAAUCUUUUGUACCCUCCUAUUAGUAACUUUUGGAAUGGGAAUGUUUACCUUGUGCCUUUGCUUGUUGGAAGUGUUUAACUUUGUUUUCAUUUGUACUGGUUCAUGCAGUUAAGAGUUUGCCUUCCUAUUAGAGAAGAGUUGAGACUUGAACUUUUCAGCAAUACUCAAACUGUUCGGACUUUGGCAAUUGUUAGAUUAAAAUGCCUUUUGCAUAAAGGUAUGUGCAUGAGUCUUUGGGGGUCCAAGGACAAAAUGUUAUGUUUCUAAUGUAAUAUAAUGUUGAUAGACUUAAUGCUGGUUCUUAAGGAUUGUUAAAUUGUAAAAUGCUAAGAAAAAGCAUGCCUUUGUAUCUGGAGGCUGAUUUAAAGAAAUAUGUCUGGUUACCUAGUUGACAAGGGGUUGAUUGUUAUGGUUGAUACAUUGUGUCAACUUGAGAGUUUAGAAGUUUAACUGAGAGAUUCAGCAGCAGAGUCUAGGUUCUUUGUAAAUAUCCUCAGCCUGUGUAAAGGAAGGCAAGGAGAUUUUGUGAGUGCUACACACCUACCCUGCAGGGAGUGAGGUGGCCUGUGUACAAUAUAAGCCAGAAGAGUUUUUUUGUUGUUGUUGUUUUUGCUUUUUGCUUUGGCUGCUGCCUUGAAGUGUUACUCUAGUGCCAUGCCACCUUGUCUUUGUGCCAGCUAAUUUGGACUGAAACCUCCACAACAGUGAGUUAAAUAAACCUUUCCUUCUUUCAUUUUGGUUGUCAGAUAUUUUGUCCCAGCAAAGAGAAAAAAAUAACCAAGACAGAGAGGUCAAUAGUGAAAUGAUAGCCUAUCUGUAGAAUAUUUUUUUAAAAAUCCUUAAGCCACAUGUUAGAUAAAGGCUUAAUGUGUAGAAUACAAAAAAGAACUCCCGCAACUCCAAAAUUUUUUUAAAAACCUUGAAAAAUUAUCAAAAUGGCUUAAAUAGACAUUUCUUCAAAGAAGUUGCCCAGAUAGCCAGAAGCACAUGAAAAGAUAGCAUCACUAAUCAGUAGAGAAGUACAAAUCAAACCCAAACCCAUUGGAAUGGUUACUACACAAAAUAAAACCCAGAAAAUAGCAAUGUUGAUUAGGAUAUGAGAAAUUAAAGCCUUUGGGACUAUUGGUGGAAUUGUGAAAUGGUACAAUCAUUCUGGACAACAGUAUAUUUUCUAAAAAAAUAAAAUAGAAUUACAAUAUGA